CGUGCUCCAAAUGAAUAGUGAAUUGGACCUACUUUCCAAGGGAUGCAGUUCCUCAGCCCCACUCCCUGGUCGUCAAGGUUUAGGGGAGAAAAGGUUUCGAAGCAAGAAGGAAGCCCAGCCCCAACGUCCCAGGAGCCCAAGUCCCGGCGCCCCUCCUACUUCCCGCGGCUGUUUGCGACUCUCAUCCCCGUUCCCUCGCGUUUUUUCCGCCUCCUCUUCAGGAUUCUGGGCCCCAGAAACCGGGUUCUCCUGUACAGAAGGACUAUGUGGACACGUCGAGGUUUCAGGACUCGUGAAUCUUAUAUGUCCUCUACAAGCCCACCUGGCCCUGCGGAGUCCCAUCACUCUCGGAGUCUCGAGUUCUUACGUGCAAAAAAGAGGAAUCCGGGCUACCGAUUCCAGCAUCUCAAGUUGUUGAGACCAGGGAUCCCUGACCCACUGCCACCCGGACCCGGGCUUCUCCGCGGGCUGAAUCCAGGACCCGCGGGGGCUCCCCGCUCCGACCUGCCCAGACUCUGCUCCACCGAUAAGACGCCUUAGGACAGGACCAGAUGGAACACUUUUCAUUCUCUUCGAUGGGUUUUGAAAUGUUCUUCAGCCACAAAGUGCUGUAGAAUACAACUCGUUUAGGAAGGCCUCUAAGCGAAACAGAGGAGAGGGACCUGGAAAAAGAGCUGGGCAGGCGGAGGAGGGACGCGGAAGAGCAAAGGGAAGCGGAAGUAGGGUAAGAUUUCAAUUUGGUGUCGCGGCACAGAGGCCAAGAUUCGGAAACAGUGGGACUCAUGCGUGGCCCUGCGUUCUCCUGUGGUGACCUCCUCUCUGGGACCUGUGCAUAUAAUAAACAUCUCUUCCCAGUCUCUUCCCUUCCUGUGGCCGCACCAACUUCACCACACCGUACUCAACGUCUCCUUUCUUAGACCACACACCAUAUACAAAAGGCUAAUUUCCCUAAUAUUUACAGAAUUAUAAGCCAAUGAGAAAUAAACCAACAACACAAUAAAAACAGCAAACAUAGAAACAAUAGAAAACAUAACACUCUUGUCCAUAAGAGAAAGUAUUUAACAUUAAACAUUGUUAUUAAUGAAAACAAUACAAUUUAAAACUAAGUUGAAAUAACAUUUUUCAGCUAUAAGAAAUGGUAAAUUUUUAAAAAGUUUAAUAUUUUGGAGAGUUAAUAAAUAUUGUUAAUGAGAGGUACGAGGUAUUGUUAAAUUGAUACGAGUUC